GAACGUCGUGAGACAGUUCGGUCCAUAUCCGGUGUAGGCGUUAGAAUAUUGAGAGGAGCCUUCUUUAGUACGAGAGGACCAAGAAGGACACACCGCUGGUGUACCAGUUAUCGUGCCAACGGUAAACGCUGGGUAGCUAUGUGUGGAGUGGAUAACCGCUGAAAGCAUCUAAGUGGGAAGCCCACCUCAAGAUGAGUAUUCUCAUCACGUAAGUGAGUAAGGUCACGGUAAGACUAACCGUUUGAUAGGC
rnacentral:rRNA from 1 species